CUACGGAGGGGGUUAGCGUUGUUCGGAAUUACUGGGCGUAAAGCGUACGUAGGCGGAUUAGUAAGUUAGGGGUGAAAUCCCGAGGCUCAACCUCGGAACUGCCUCUAAAACUGCUAGUCUUGAGUUCGAGAGAGGUGAGUGGAAUUCCUAGUGUAGAGGUGAAAUUCGUAGAUAUUAGGAGGAACACCAGUGGCGAAGGCGGCUCACUGGCUCGAUACUGACGCUGAGGUACGAAAGUGUGGGGAGCAAACAGGAUUAGAAACCCGGGUAGUCC
rnacentral:rRNA from 1 species